rnacentral:rRNA from 1 species
AACGAACGCUGGCGGCAUGCCUAACACAUGCAAGUCGAACGAGACCUUCGGGUCUAGUGGCGCACGGGUGCGUAACGCGUGGGAACCUGCCCUUAGGUUCGGAAUAACUCCCCGAAAGGGGUGCUAAUACCGGAUAAUGUCUUCGGACCAAAGAUUUAUCGCCUUUGGAUGGGCCCGCGUUGGAUUAGCUAGUUGGUAGGGUAAAAGCCUACCAAGGCGACGAUCCAUAGCUGGUCUGAGAGGAUGAUCAGCCACACUGGGACUGAGACACGGCCGGGAUUCCUGGGGGAGAGGGAAGGGGGGAAAAUGGCAAAUGGAGCAAAAGCACGCUACAGCACAGCCGGGUGAAGGGAGAAGGCCUUGGGGUUUAAAAGUCUUUUAGCCCGGGAUGGAAUGGAGAGGACGGGGGGAAGAGGCACCGGCUAAUCCGGA